rnacentral:misc_RNA from 1 species
GAUGAAGAACGUAGUGAAAUGCGAUAAGUAAUGCGAAUUGCAGAAUUCAGUGAAUCAUCGAAUCUUUGAACGCACAUUGCGCCCCUUGGUAUUCCGGGGGGCAUGCCUGUUCGAGCGUCAUUUCAACCCUCAAGCUUCUGCUUGGUCUUGGGCCGUGCCGGCAACGGCUGGCCUUAAAACUAGUGGCGGUGCCAUCGAGCUCUACGCGUAGUAAUUCUAUCUCGCGUCUGGGCUUCGGUGGACGCUGGCCAGCAACCCCCAAUUUUCUAUGGUUGACCUCGGAUCAGGUAGGGAUACCCGCUGAACUUAAGCAUAUCAAUAAGCGGAGGA